UACGUAGGGGGCAAGCGUUGUCCGGAAUCAUUGGGCGUAAAGAGCGCGUAGGCGGUCCGGUAAGUCCGCUCUGAAAGUCCGGGGGCUCAACCCCGGGAGGCGGGCGGAUACUGUCGGGCUAGAGUCCGGAAGAGGCGAGUGGAAUUCCUGGUGUAGCGGUGGAAAUGCGCAGAUAUCAGGAGGAACACCAAUGGCGAAGGCAGAUCUCUGGGCCGUAACUGACGCUGAGGAGCGAAAGCAUGGGGAGCGAACAGG
rnacentral:rRNA from 1 species